rnacentral:rRNA from 1 species
ACUUAAAUUGAAGAGUUUGAUCAUGGCUCAGAUUGAACGCUGGCGGCAGGCCUAACACAUGCAAGUCGAACGGUAGCACAGAGAGCUUGCUCUCGGGUGACGAGUGGCGGACGGGUGAGUAAUGUCUGGGAAACUGCCUGAUGGAGGGGGAUAACUACUGGAAACGGUGGCUAAUACCGCAUAACGUCGCAAGACCAAAGAGGGGGACCUUCGGGCCUCUUGCCAUCAGAUGUGCCCAGAUGGGAUUAGCUGGUUGGUGAGGUAACGGCUCACCAAGGCGACGAUCCCUAGCUGGUCUGAGAGGAUGACCAGCCACACUGGAACUGAGACACGGUCCAGACUCCUACGGGAGGCAGCAGUGGGGAAUAUUGCACAAUGGGCGCAAGCCUGAUGCAGCCAUGCCGCGUGUAUGAAGAAGGCCUUCGGGUUGUAAAGUACUUUCAGCGGGGAGGAAGGUGUUGUGGUUAAUAACCGCAGCAAUUGACGUUACCCGCAGAAGAAGCACCGGCUAACUCCGUGCCAGCAGCCGCGGUAAUACGGAGGGUGCAAGCGUUAAUCGGAAUUACUGGGCGUAAAGCGCACGCAGGCGGUCUGUCAAGUCGGAUGUGA